rnacentral:lncRNA from 1 species
UGAUUAUGGACAAACGUGGGAUUUGUUUCUUUUUUUCAGGUUAUGUUAUGAUAUUCAAUUAUGAGGAUUUUAUGCGAAAUAAGGUACAACAUACCCAACAUUGCGGCUCAGUACACCAGCAUAAACGCGCAGCAUAACUUGACGAAGCUGUAACAGUCAUGCUCGCAGCUGUGUCCUGCAGUCCGCCUCCACAUUUGAGCACUGACUCGCCAUCCCGUCGAAUGUUCAACGAGCAGCCUCGAAAAUCGGCAACCUGUGCCUUUCAACAAACAUCUUUAACAUUUGUCCCGGGACUCCUACUAUCAUCUUUGCCACUCAUGGGCUAAUUAUGGGUCCUGCAACUUGUAGUACUGACCCUGGAGCAAACGGACACAGACAACUAGACUGGUUUGGAGUGACAACGUACAACCUUGGACAACAUAGACCUCUAGAUAAACACUUAGCAAAGGGAUAAUUUGGCCGAACAUUCGCACCUCCCUAUUACUCCUACACACAACAACACUCACCAACAGCAAAUAUCACAGAAGUUUAUCACAGAUCAACGUGAUCACAGAUGUCUUGCCACAAAUGUCGGGUUACAGUCAACUCAUCGAUCAUCGUGAAUGCAGUUCCUCGAAAAUCAACUUCUGCACCUGCUUCAAAUAAUCAAAUAGAAAAAGAAAAGAACUAAUAUGAU